rnacentral:rRNA from 1 species
GAUGAACGCUGGCGGCGUGCCUAAUACAUGCAAGUCGAGCGAAUGGAUUAAGAGCUUGCUCUUAUGAAGUUAGCGGCGGACGGGUGAGUAACACGUGGGUAGCCUGCCCAUAAGACUGGGAUAACUCCGGGAAACCGGGGCUAAUACCGGAUAACAUUUUGAACCGCAUGGUUCGAAAUUGAAAGGCGGCUUCGGCUGUCACUUAUGGAUGGACCCGCGUCGCAUUAGCUAGUUGGGGAGGUAACGGCUCACCAAGGCAACGAUGCGUAGCCGACCUGAGAGGGUGAUCGGCCACACUGGGACUGAGACACGGCCCAGACUCCUACGGGAGGCAGCAGUAGGGAAUCUUCCGCAAUGGACGAAAGUCUGACGGAGCAACGCCGCGUGAGUGAUGAGGGCUUUCGGGUCGUAAAACUCUGUUGUUAGGGAAGAACAAGUGCUAGUUGAAUAAGCUGGCACCUUGACGGUACCUAACCAGAAAGCCACGGCUAACUACGUGCCAGCCGCCGCUGUAA